UACGUAGGGGGCAAGCGUUGUCCGGAAUCAUUGGGCGUAAAGAGCGUGUAGGCGGUCCGGUAAGUCGGCUGUGAAAGUCCAGGGCUCAACCCUGGGAUGCCGGUCGAUACUGCCUGACUAGAGUUCGGAAGAGGCGAGUGGAAUUCCCGGUGUAGCGGUGAAAUGCGCAGAUAUCGGGAGGAACACCUAUGGCGAAGGCAGCUCGCUGGGACGUUACUGACGCUGAGACGCGAAAGCGUGGGGAGCAAACAGG
rnacentral:rRNA from 1 species